AAUAAUCUUCAGGGCGGGGCGAAGUUCCCCACCGGCGGUAAAGCCCGCGAGCCGUAAAGGCAGAUUCGGUUAGAUCCCGAAGCCGACAGUAAAGUCUGGAUAAAAGAAGAUGUGA
rnacentral:ncRNA from 2 species